AGAAUUCAAACUUUAAAGAAGAACUCUACGUUGUUUAUAAAUAUGAAUAAAGCAUGAUGGAAAUAGUGUUGCAAGAUUCGUGAAUUUCUUCAUGGAGCAAUAAGAACAAAUUCAAGCGGUCACGAAAAAAGUAGACUCGAAACACGGUGUAGGAAAACCCAUGGAAAAUUCGGCAGAUGUAAUUCUAGUGUCAUCGUGUCUUGUGGGAAAAGUUAGAAGUAUUGACUGUCACGUGACUGUCACAGCCACACGUAUGUAUGCAUGUGUAGUAUGUAUGUAACAGUAUCUAAGGGUGAAAUCAUACGGUGCGAAAAAGAGCUGCGGAAUAGAGAAUGCGUCAUUGAAACAACUAAUUAGCGCUAUUCGGAAUAACGCAGAAUAAUGCUGAUUAUUCUGCCGUAGAGAUACUAAAAGGAGAGAUCGGCCAAUGCGACUCGAUCCGUGAUUGGCUCUGCCAUGAUGUUGUGAAAUCGAAUGGGAGAUUGAAAGAAGCGAAUGUGAGAGCGAGAGAAGCGUCGUCUGCUUACGAUUAAGUUGUCACAAAAAUAAUUUAACUUAGACGAGUCUUUUACAUUUUGAAAAUGAUAAGUUGCUGUACGGAUUAUUGCAUAAAUUCCUCAAAAAAAGAAUUUCGAGUAUAUAUCAAAUCCCGAGAGGGCAGAGGAGAAAAGUUUGGUUAAAGUACAUUAACCGUGAAGAUUUGGAUAUUGAAAAUAUGCGUUCAUGUCAUGCCCAUUUUUCUCCUGAUAUGUGGGAAGCAUACCCAGACAGUAAACCAAGAUGUUUGAAAGCAAAUGCUGUGUCUACAAUUUUCAAACAUAUGAAUGCUUUGGCUGCAACAGUGAUAGAUACAAUUGAAGACUCCCAAGAACCUGUAUUAAAUUCGGAUACACAUUAAGCAGAACUACGACAUAUUUAACGUUUGAUCACUGCACUACAUCACAGAAUUUGGAGAAGCUGCUAAAAACAAGUGAACAGUUGAAAGUUAAAAUGAAAAAAAAGUUUGUAACUGAAGAAGGAACUGAAGCGUUUAAAAAAUGAAGUG